rnacentral:rRNA from 1 species
ACGAACGCUGGCGGCGUGCUUAACACAUGCAAGUCGAACGGUGAAGCAGGAGCUUGCUCUUGUGGAUCAGUGGCGAACGGGUGAGUAACACGUGAGUAACCUGCCCUUGACUCUGGGAUAAGCGUUGGAAACGACGUCUAAUACCGGAUACGACCUCCAACCGCAUGGUUAGGGGGUGGAAAGAUUUUUUGGUCAAGGAUGGACUCGCGGCCUAUCAGCUUGUUGGUGAGGUAAUGGCUCACCAAGGCGACGACGGGUAGCCGGCCUGAGAGGGUGACCGGCCACACUGGGACUGAGACACGGCCCAGACUCCUACGGGAGGCAGCAGUGGGGAAUAUUGCACAAUGGGCGCAAGCCUGAUGCAGCAACGCCGCGUGAGGGAUGACGGCCUUCGGGUUGUAAACCUCUUUCAGCAGGGACGAAGCGUGAGUGACGGUACCUGCAGAAGAAGCACCGGCUAACUACGU